UCUCUCUCUCUCUCUCUCAAAAAUAAACAUUAAAAAAAAAAAACGACUUGGAGAAGGGCAGUCAGGCCUCUCUGCCAAGGGCCUGCGGUAUCUGGGUUCUUGGCUUCUAUCAGUAGAAAUGGCAUGAUGUUGCUCUUAUCUUUCAGUGUCGUCUCUCCUUUUUCAGAAUCGGUGGGACUGUUGAACUGCUUCAGGGCUGGGCAGAGGUGCUGUGCGGUGGGGAGACCCGAGGGCAGGAUCGUGUGGGGGAACAUCCCAGUGUGGAGAGACUGCGGGGAGAUAUGUGAGGCAGAGGCAGGUCACAGCUAGAAGAGUGUGUUCCUUCCUCCCCUGGUCACACUAUUUUUGGUGUUGGACGCUCACAGAUGUCUGCUUGUUCCAGCGAGACGUGCUCAGCUCUCAGUGCAUCUGGCAAGUGGGAUGAGGACAGCCAGCACUGGUCGCCUGUGUUCAGCGUGUCUCCAGCUUGCUCUGGCGUCGGGACGAGGCCUGGCUGGCUCCCUUACCUGUGCACAGGGUCCUGCUGGUGGGGAGCCUUGUGCACAGAGCCACAUGACCCAGUGAUCUGUGCCAGUUCCUCCUGACAGGAAGUGGAGCUGUGUUAAGGAUUCUUAGACGGGUUUUGGCUUUGAGUGUAGGAUUGAUGCGAUGUGGCCCCCGGUCCUUCCUGCCUUUGGCUCUGUUGGCUAGUAUCUCUGUGGGGAAGGUCCUGUCUCUGAGCAGAUGAGGUUAAUACCCUCCCCUUCCCCCCACCGCCCCCGCUGCCCCACCACCAUGAACCUGGGCUGUGAGAAUGUGGCCAGUGAAUGGGUUUCACUGGUGCCCAAGUAUGCAGGGCAAGGCUCCCAGGCUGUCAGCAGAAGUUGGGCUGAUGCUGGACCGCUUUCUCCUCAGGGAUGGAGGGCAACUCACCAGGGUCUGUGCCCCACCCGGAACAGUGACUCUAAUCGCGCUUUGUUCUGGGAUCUUCACGUGGCUCCUGUGACCUGCCUCUCCUCUUUCUUGUCUUGGUCUCUUGUGUAAAUUCAUUGAGUCCAGAUGCUUUCGGGUGACAGGAACUGAUUGCCAAGUGUGGGAUCUGCUAGGCACAGCUCAGCUUUGGUGAGUGGCUGGUCUGAAUAGAUGUGGUACCACCUCUGUGUUCUCUUCUUGGGGCUCUUGGUGCUAUUCCUGGGGCUCAGCUAUUUAAGAGCAAGCACACCACGUGUUGCAGGUGUGGGCGUCCCUCUGCUGUUGUGAAGCUCAGGGCGGACGAGCUUGGGGGUGUUGCAGGGAGGUCACUGGAGGAUGCGGGAUGCAAGGCCCAGGCCUGGGGUGGUGGAACAGGAUACCUCAUAUUGCCCGAAUCGGGGCUGAAUCAGGCUGCAGACCCAGGAUGUUGUCCCUGCCUGGCGUUCAUGUGCGUGCCUGGAUACAGGUUCUGGCUAUCUGAGCUGCUGUCCCUUGAACAGCCGAUGGCCAGGGUGGGGGACAGCUUGUAUUGCUUCCAAAUCUUCACUGAUAUUGAUAUGGUUGGGUGGCUGCCAAGUUCAGAGCAGGACACGGGGCUGGGAGGAGCAGGGGAGAAGGGGCUGGCUGUCCAUGCCAUAGCCCCAGUCAUCCAGGAGAAUAAUUAAGGCCUGAGGUGUCUUGGAAAGUCAGGAGUUUGCCACUCCAUUGGAACUCUGGGUGGAGGGUCUCCUGGGUUACAGGCAUCAUAGACUCCUGGCCAACCGACUCCUUGGCUGCUCAAGGCUACAGGGUCUGUGUGAGUCCCCAGGACCUAUUGACAAGUUGGUGGCAGGACUCAGUGGUGACUGUGGAAGGCUUCCCACAGUGGAUGGUUUCUGGAGUCAGUAGCAUUUCUCAGAAGAACCCCGCAGGGUGUGUUAGAGAGGGGAGUGGGGACACAGCUCACACGCACCCAAGGCUGGGCCUUAGCCAGGAUGCAGCCUGGAAAGCUUUGUUUAAAGUUGGGGCUAGUGUUUCUCGUUACUUUUUAACCUAUCGAUUCACCCUGUGGGUGGUGCUGAGCUCACCUUAAGCUUGACAGGUGGCGUCAGGGGGCCCAGAAUCCGAGCUCUGCAAGUUGGCCAGUUCUGGGGAGAUGAGCAUUGCUGUUCUGAAAGCCAGGUUCCAGGCUUGAGGGUUCUGGAGCCUCUAGCUGCUUCCCCUUUCCCUGCCCCAGCCACAGAUGAGCACAGCAGAAAUCAGAUGUGCAUAGCAGUUUUACGUUGGAGUCCAGGAGGAAUCCUGAAGUCUAUGGAAAAUUUAGGGGAAAUUUAGAAAAGUGAGCCUCAUGUCAUCAUUUCCACUUAGGAUGUGUGCGGAGAUUUUGGUAACCCGAAGAGUCAGAAGAUUGUGUUUAAAAAAACAGAACAGGAGUGGCAGCAGUCAGCCCAUACAGGCAGGUUGUUUAACAGAGCAGCCAGCCUCCUGUCCUGUGCCCACUUAUGGGGCCAGCCUUCCUCAGCCCCUGUGCCAGCCUGCCCUGUCUGCACAGUGGAUGAGCACCCAUCAUGCAGGGCCUGAAAUAAAGCAGUCUGUGCAUACCUUCCACGAGCUGUGGCCACCUGGCAGGUCCUCCCCAGACUCUGCAGGCCAGGUGAAGCCUGGGCAGUGGGGAGUGAGUGAGUGGGAUGUCUCCAUGUGGGGUCCCAGUCAGACCUAGGCAUCUGAUGGCCCAGAGUGUGUGUCCUUAACUUUGGCCAGACUCCAGCCAGAUCCCAGGUAUAACAGCAAGGUAAGCAAAUAGUCCUCCAGCGCUUGACCCUGUGCUGGGCAUUGAUGGUUCCAAGUGAAGAGGGAUAGUCCCAUGGGCUUUAAUCCUACCUACCAGCCAGGAGAGGUCCCUGGAGAAGGGAUAUUUGGCAGGACCUGAAGGAAAAGUGGCAUUCCUGGGCCCCAGGCAGGUGGUGGGGAAGAGCCUGUACCCUGGGGAGUCAUGGGAGGAUGUGCUGAGGGAGCGGCCUGGACCUCUUCCUUGAGCAUCACGGUCAGGGUGACAGGUCAGAGAGGACGGGGAGGGUGGCCGGGGGGCAUGCUGCACCACAGGGCACCACACACUUCUGGGCUUCAGGACACAGUGCCCUGUGCCCACACCUGGCAUGCUUUACCUCCAUGUCUUCCCGACCCUACACCCUGCCCCUUCCUUUGUCAUCUCGGGUCAGAGGGUCCCCGCUCCGUGUGCCCUCCAGCACUCAGCAUGUCCCUAGAGGUCUGCCUGCUUCUGUCCCAGCCGUAGGUGGGCUGCUGUAGCACACAGGAGCAUAGUGAACCACUAUCAGAUGAACGUGUGGUGGGACCAUGUCAAGGGGGACGCAGGUCCUGUGCGGUCUCCUGGUCUAACUCUAGCCUUGUGCAGUCUGCACUGUUGCUCCAAGGGCGGGUGUCUUGCACCGGGUCUGGAUCCUGGCAGCUCGGCUCCCGUGGUAGAUCCCUAGCCUGGUGGCUGUAACUUUUUGGGGGGGGGGGGGAGCUGUCCAUGCUUAUAUAUCUGAUUUACUCGUUGUUCUCUGGCUCUGCCAGACUCCUUUUCCAUAAAGAAAGCCCUUCCAUGUCCUCGCUUGCGUUGCCCCGGAUCUUAGCCCAGGAUGGUGGUGUUCCCUCACAGAGCGCACCAUAAAGGCACCUCUGAAGCUGCCUGGAGCAUCAGCAUGGGCCCACAGCUGGACAGUCUGGUUGGACACAGUCUGGAAUGGCUGGCUCAUAGCACCUUCCCUGUGGUAGGCCUAGGCCUGUCGUGCUACCUUUUCCCUUUUUUUAUCAAAUAAAACCAGGUAUAAAGUGGCACUUUAUUAAGUAGGUGACAGGAGUAGGGGCCAGGGAGUCCUACAGUGUGGCCUGACUCUGCCCAGGGGCCGGUGGCCAGUGGCAAGUUCUUGGCCUCGUGUGGUCACGGGGCAGUGCUUUCCCCUGCAGGGUGCUCCCCGCCCCUGCAGCCUGCUUGUGAUGGGGGUGCCGUGGACAGCAGCAUCAGGGCCAUUUGCUUGGGGCCCUGGCCUAUCUGUUACCAGUGACCGGGCUCAUGCCUGGGCAUUGGCAAACCUUGCCAGGCUGCCGAGUGCUUUCCCCAGGCAGGGGCUUUUGGAUUCUGCAUUUGUGGGCCUAAAACUUCUUCCCUAAGUUGGUUCAGAAGCAGAAAGAUGAAGGUCAUCCGUUUUCCUCACAGAACACUGACCGUGCUGCAUGCCCCAUGUCCUGGCACUCUGAUUUAACAAGUGGCAAAUGUCAUCACUAAGGUGGGACCCGCCGUGCUCCUCGUGGGAUAAGAUCACCUCUCCUGCUGUGACUUUUGGCCUCCGUUGGUGGCUGGAAGUUGUCCUGGCGGGUCCCCAUAAGUGAUGCUUACUCCCAGGUUCUGCUCUGGUGAAUUAAAUGUGUGAAGUUGCCACCCA